rnacentral:lncRNA from 1 species
AACCAAACUCACGUGCCCUCGGUACAAUCUGAUGCAAAAACAGCAAUCCGGGUCCACCGUCAACCUCAGCGGCACUCAACAGACCAGAACAGUCUAAACACUGCUGUAAAAAUAAGCUCGGCAUCCCAGCACGAGCGGAAAUACAUUCUACACUAUCCUGGGUAUCCACCGCCCACAACCUGCGGUGAUACCAAUAAAUUACGGCUCCUAAAGCUAAAUCUGGUAAUUUAAACAUAUGACGGUGUAGAAUCGUUAAGUUUCUCCAAAGUCAAAUCCCAGUCCAACAUGCUUAUUUAACUAACAUUUAAGCUCCAAUUUCAUAUUCCAAUAAACAUGCAAAUCCACUAAUUGAGCUAUCUAACAGGAUAACAAUAACCAAUAUACAUGCCGACAACUAUAACUUAGAAGAAAAUCUGGUAAUUCCGGUAGCUUAACAAUUCAACCCACCUCUCGCGCAACUCCACGGCAGCAAGAGGGUCACGAUAACACCGAAAAUCUCUGCUGUAUUCACAACUGGACCAGCAGUAAACCUCCUCAAAGAUCUGAACAUCAAUACACCAAAAAUUGCAUUAUAACCCAAAUAUUCAGCACUUAAGCUUAAUCCUCCCAUUUCCAAAGACAACUUCACCUUCCAAUCUUCAAAUCAGGUGAGGAAAGGUCUCAAAUCCAGUGGAAAAUGAAAGCACACAGGGUUCAGGUCGCAAUUCCAGCUCCCUCCAAAGAUUGCAUCAUAAAAUCCACAAAAACUCGAAUUUCAGCUUCAAUACUACAGCAGUCCAGAAAAAUAAUAAUUUGACCAAACUAACCUCAAU